rnacentral:tRNA from 1 species
GUUUUUUUAAUUUAAUUAAAAUAUUGAUUUUGUAAAUCAACCUUAGGUAAAAUUUACCUUUAAAACA